rnacentral:lncRNA from 1 species
AGAGGAUCAGGGAAAUAAAAGGAGAGAUCCUGGUAGGACUGCAGGAGCUGGGCUGGUUGCAGACUGUUCUCUGCUGUUUCCUUAUCCCUGCAGGCUGUUGCUGGUGUUGCUAAUGCAGGAAAGGGUGAAUGCGUGUGAGUCGGGCCUCUAGCUCUGCAUCUGAACUGAUGCUUGGAUUCUCCCUGAGGACUGACAGGCAGAGCAAGAGCACAGAUUCCCUUGACCCUGAGCCAAUCAAUGACAAAUUGUACAAGUCCCCAUUGAAAACAUUGCAGAAGCCAGAGGAAUGCCAGCUUUACUGUGUAGUACAUUUAACUCAGAUAUUUUAAGCUUACAACUGUUGUCUUGCAUUUAGUUUUUGGUGUCAAAUGUUUAAUGAGACAGACUAUGUGCUGAUGGGAAUCAAUGAUGGUGGAGUUGAUUGAUUUGAGUUUAAUGAUUUGAGAAUAUGAGGAUUUCCAGAGUAAGCUGGRAGGCUGGAAAAAUGUUCAAAGACAUAGUUGGCAGAGCCAGUCUGCAAAACCUUUGAAACAGUAAAAAGGCAUAAAUCUCAGGCGGCUUCUUGUCAGACAGCUGUGAUCUGUGAUGGCACCAGUGGUAGAAGGAGAAGAGGUACAGAGGCUACAAAAAGGAACUGUUUCUGGAAGCGGCUGGUGGGAUUUAGAUCUGGUUUUAGCGGGGAUGAAGUUUUGGGACUGAGGCCAAGUGCUAUUUCCAGAAUUUGAGGUUGACCCCUGGCUUGGAUUUAAGGGCUUGAAUUCAGUGCAGUUUAAAUCUGAGGCUGAACUUUGGUUGACAUCUGCUGGUUGGGAUUCUAGGAAAGCAAACCCUAGUAAGCUCUUUGAAGCUUCGUUGACUGAGGUGAACUUCAGUCUCCAAAUACUGGUUGGAAAGCAAGAUUUAUUUGAGCCACGUUCCAACAAGAAAGACAACCCAAACUGGUGACAUUGAGGUCUGGCCUCAACACCCUCAUUUCUCCUGCAUUUUGGAACCUGAGGGGCAGGGGAGAGAAAAAGAUGUCUGGCAAAUAGAAAUUCAAUUGGUUUAAUACACAGACUAUUUUACUGCGGUCUAACUGGAACCCCUUAUUAAGAAUCCGAUGGCAUUUCUAAAUAGGGAGAGCUGCUCCCUUGGUGAGGGCAAUCUCCAAUCAUACACCAACAUUGCUUUUGACAUAUUUAUGACUCCAAUAAAAUCUCCCAUCUGGUAUAUUUUAAAAUAAAA